AUUGGCCAGGUUGGUCUUGAACUCCUGGCCUCAGGUGAUACUUUUAAUAAAACAAGUAUUCAGAUUCACUUAAGGAGCAAUGAAAGAAUCGUCUGUUUUAAUUUUAUGCCACAAGGUACUUGUGGCUUAAGAUAAACUUCCUCCUAAUUACAUUCUCCUCAGAUUCAAAAAGUAGUAUAUCUUAAACAACUUUGGUGACAUUUUAAAAUGAUGUGGCUUAGAAAAUUGCUAGGUUAUCUAAAAUGGCUCUGUUUAUGAUGUAAAUGCAGCACAUGAAGAGCUUGUAUAAAAUAGACUUUUGAAGUGUACAAAUGGAAGGAACAGUCCUUCUAAAUAAUUAUUUUCCCUCCUUUUUAUUGAAGUAUUCGUAUAUAUAGAAAAGAUAUCAUGUCAUAAGCGUACUGCUUAGUGAGUUACUCCCAAGUCGGAUAUACCUUGUUAACCACCA